AAUUCUCAACUUUACUAGUUAUGUCCUGCAUACUAGUAUGGCUUGGAUUUAUGGGAGUUGCAGGCUUUGUUUUUAGAAAAGCUAGCUCUUCUUAAAUAUAUUAGCAGAACCAUUGCUGAUGUUCCUCUGGUGUUGAUAAAUUUAUCUAAUAUCGUUUGGAGUUAGUUUUGGUUAGCUUUCUGAUUUUAUCUGUUGACAAA
rnacentral:misc_RNA from 1 species